rnacentral:rRNA from 1 species
UACGUAGGGGGCAAGCGUUGUCCGGAUUUACUGGGCGUAAAGCGCGCGUAGGCGGGAAGAGAAGUCCGGUGGGAAAGCCCACGGCUCAACCGUGGAAGAACGCUGGAAACUCUCUUUCUUGAGGGCGGCAGAGGGAAGUGGAAUUGCUGGUGUAGCGGUGAAAUGCGUAGAUAUCAGCAGGAACACCCUGGCGAAGGCGGCUUCCUGG